AUUGAACGCUGGCGGCAUGCCUAACACAUGCAAGUCGAACGGCAGCAUGAUUUAGUUUACUAGAUUGAUGGCGAGUGGCGGACGGGUGAGUAACGCGUAGGAAUAUGCCUUGAAGAGGGGGAUAACUUGGGGAAACUCAAGCUAAUACCGCAUAAGCUCUAAGGAGUAAAGCUGGGGACCUUCGGGCCUGGCGCUUUGAGAUUAGCCUGCGUCCGAUUAGCUAGUUGGUGGGGUAAAGGCCUACCAAGGCGACGAUCGGUAGCUGGUCUGAGAGGAUGGCCAGCCACACUGGAACUGAGACACGGUCCAGACUCCUACGGGAGGCUG
rnacentral:rRNA from 1 species